CCCAAUACACUCCCGUCUCUGUCUCUGUCUCAGCCAGGGAGAGGAAAUGUGAGCGCUCUCUGGGGAAGGACGGACCAGUCCCCGAAGCCCUUAAACAGCCCCUACUUAGCGCACGCAGCUUGGAACUGUCACAUUGAGACACGGAUUUCUUUGUUGCCAUUCAGCGCUCAAGUGUGUGGGCGUUUUGAGCCACUGUUUCUCCCCAUGGUGGGCGCAGCAUUACAUGCUUCCUUCUUGGGCCGGCGUUAUUUUUCUUCUUCAGAGAGAGAGAGAGAGAGAGGGGAACGGGGAACGGCCCGGGCGAGGCAAGAGCGAAAGCGGCGGCAGCAGCUAAAUAUAGUCCGGCCGCCGAGAACUUGGCUGCGAUCAGCUUGAUCUUCAUAACUCCACAGUCCUGAAAAUUAUCCCAGCCUUGAGUACACUUAAAGAAUAAAACCAGUAAGAAAAUGCAAAACAUUGUUGCAAACAUGUAGAAACAAGGAACUGCUUUUGGAGAACUCAAUGAUUCAGUCAACAUCCCUGGAGAACUUGGACAGGUGACGUUUUGGGUUGAGACAAUUUUUCAGGCGAAUCUAAUGCAAUCAUUGUCAUUUCCCUGUAUUUAACAUCAAAUCAUCUUGUUACAUGCAUAGGAAAUCAAAAUUAACAAUGUAAAAAAAACCAACCUGGUUAUAAAUAUUAUUAAGAGCCAGCAAUGACAGCAAUGGUACCGUCCAACAAUUGUUCGUUCCUCAUCCAUUAUCCACUUGAAUUUUGCACUUACUUUUAAUAAGAUUAGGGUUUGUCAAUUUAAUAUCGGCUUUGUAGUGCAUUCCAGGUUAUAUCAUGCAUUGAUUUUCAAAUUCAAAGAUUAAGUUAAGGCUUUUAUAUAGUACUUGCUUCUAUCAAACUUAAUUGUAUAUAUGAGCAGGAAAUUAUUUCCCCAAUACAUUUAUAUGGCAAACACUGAACUUUCAGUAGAUUGAAGAUAGACACAAAAUUCUGGAGUAACUCAGCGGGUCAGGCAGCAUCACUGGAGCAAAGGAAUAGGUAACAUUUCAGGUCGAGACCCUUCUUCAGACUGAGAAUCAGGGGAGAGGGAAACGAGAGAUAUAGCAACGUAAGAACAAAUGCAUGAAAGGUAUGAUAAGAACAAAUCACAGACAGCAACUAAGAUCAAGGAAAGGUGGAGCCCACAAUGGUCUAUUGCCAGCUGUGGGGGAGUGGAUACCAACAGUGAUACUAAGCUGGACGACAGUCGUAGGACAAUUAGGGUAAGGAGGGACAGAGAGUGAGGGAAUGCAAGGGUUACAGUAGAUUACAGGCAGUAGAUUGAGACUGUUUUACACCACAGUGGUUGAACUUUGAUUUGACACUAAAAAACCUGUUGUUGCAGCACUACCCAACUCCAGAACAAUGGAGAUAAUGGACUCGCUGAAAAAUUCCAUCCACGCUUCACUGUGCAGGCAAGGUCAAUCCCAACUACAGACUCAUGCUAUGCUUGUAACAAUAAAGAAAUAAAACGUUGAAGAUAGACUGGUUAUUUUGAACACAGUCUGCAGAGCAUCAGAUUAAAAUGUUUUCAGUCUCCAUGGAUCAUGUAAUUUCAUCAGCAAUCCUUCAAAUAUUCCAUCUUCUAGAUUCCAGCUUGCUUUCAUAUAUGUCUCGGAAGUUCAGUGCUGUUGCCUUCUAUGUAUCAAAUUCUGAUAUCUAUUUGGUGACAGUAUUACCUCCCCCAAGAUUUGAUUUGACAUCUUGGUUGAUGACUAACUGCAGGAAAGAAGCUAUUCUAUAUUCAAAUUGCUCAAACAGUCGGAAAAUUUGUGAAUUGAAGACACAUGAAUAACAUCUAUAAAAAAAUGUCCCUCACAUAUUUAAGGAUACACUUUGUGCGAAAUGGUAUAGAGCAGAUGUACUAUACGUUAAAGUUAUCAACUUAGCACUCUCCCCUCUAUUUGUAUACUAAAUCAGUCCUCGGUUUUCUGUGCAGUUGUAGCUCCAAGACCAGUUGGCACUGACCAACUCAAGUUAUUAAUACAGGCCAGAUAUUCACAUGGGACAACCAGAUACAAAUCUGGCUUGGCCUCAAAGGAGAUGAAGGAUUACAGCAGCCAAAAAGGUUAAUUUACAGCGGAGAUGAGAUCUUUGCAAUUUACAAAUGCAGAAACAAAGCAAAUAAAUAAGUAAACCUUUGUGCAUUAAUUAGCAUGAAAAUAUAAUGUCACAACCUGCCCACAGGAAACAGAACCUCUUUCAGCAAAAUUCUUGGCUGAAUGCAAACAUUGACAAAUGUGGGCAUCU